AGUGAACGCUGGCGGUAGGCCUAACACAUGCAAGUCGAACGGCAGCACAGUACGAGCUUGCUCUUACGGGUGGCGAGUGGCGGACGAGUGAGGAAUACAUCGGAAUCUACUUUUUCGUGGGGGAUAACGUAGGGAAACUUACGCUAAUACCGCAUACGACCUACGGGUGAAAGCAGGGGAUCUUCGGACCUGGCGCGGUUGAAUGAGCCGAUGUCGGUUUAGCUAGUUGGCGGGGUAAAGGCCCACCAAGGCGGGGAUCCGUAGCUGGACUGAGAGGAUGAGCAGCCACACUGGAACUGAGACAGGGCCCAGUGGCCUACGGGUGGCACCAGUGGGGAUUCUGGGGGAAUGGGCGGAAACCUGAGCCAACCAGACCGAGGGGGGGAAGAACGCCGUCGGGUGGGAAAGCCCGUUUGUUGGGAUAGAAAAGGCGCAGGCUUAUACCGCGGCGUGCUGACGGUUACUAGAGAAUGAGCACCGGCUAACUUCGUG
rnacentral:rRNA from 1 species